AUCAACCGAUGUAAAAGUGUGAAAGUAAGAUGAUGCUGAUGGUGACCGAUGCUUUUCUUUUUUUUCUUUUCCUGCUUUCAUCCACUGAUGGCGUCGAGCAUCGCCGAGGAUGUGAUCGAAUGCGGAAUAUUCUAAACUAGGAGCUUCAUUCCGGAUUUUGUUUGCAAUAAGCGCUGAACUCAUCCUCCAGCUUACAACGAACGGUCAACGGAUGAGGAAGGAGAGGAGGGACGGCAAAGGUACAUGCACAAACGUGCACACAUCAGCUUUCUCUAUGAACGAGAACACGGGAGGGGGAGUCCGGCAACGUAUAGAACCUCUUCAUUUACGCUCCCUCGUGCGUUCGUGCGUGCGUGCGCUCGCGCGUCUAUGUGUGUGUAUGUGUGUUCAUGCCUGCGUGCGUGGCUGUGUGUGUUUUUGCCGCCUCGCAUAACGAGAUCCUACGGGAUCACCUUGCGAAAAACACCAAGAGAGGGGGAAGGGUAGUCCCCGAGAUACGCGGUCCCUCACAUACGCGGAUUCGGAGAUAUCAAAGCGAGUUGAUGUAUCGGAGAUAUGCUAUUUUCUUAAUUUGACAGUUCUUUACCCAAAAGGUGAAAAGCAAAAUAAUGACUCUUUUGGUCAAAUUUUAAAAUUCAUUGAAAAAUGUGUAAAUUUGUAAUCUUCACUAAAACUCAAAUCGAAUAAUUAAUUUAGUAGCUUAAACCAUCCAGCACAUGUCAAAUAACAUGAAAAUUAGGGUAACUGUAUCUAUUUUCGGCAAGGUAAUAGGGGGAUUCGGCAGGGGGAUACGCUCUGCAAUGGGAUGGGAUCCGAAGCCGCCUCGAGGGAUAAUACAGGCUCUCCCAUCCAACUCCUAUUCCGACACGUCCUCGUCGUGCAGAGUGGUAACGUGUGUCAUCACAUAUCCAAACUUGGGUACACGGGCUUGACCAAGGGGUUGCCCUUGGGCGGAUGGUGGCAUAUGGCAAACCAGGAGGGGGUGGGUAUCCCGGGAAACUGGGUGCCUGAACGUCGGGGAGGCAACCCGACGCUAAACAAAACGGUCACGUGGGCGCGGGGCCAGUCACCCAGUCCCAUCGAUUUAUAGGCUACGGAAAACACCAGGAAUCAUCGAAACGGAACCAACGAUACCGACCCUACGCAUUGCUCCAGGAUUACUCUUAAAAUGGGCUCAUGGAACGUACGCACUCUAAGCGAAGCCGGAGCCUUGAAAAAACUUGAUGAUGCCCUAGCCACACUGAGCAUGGACCUCGUAGCUCU